rnacentral:rRNA from 1 species
GAUGAACGCUGGCGGCGUGCCUAAUACAUGCAAGUCGAGCGAACGGACGAGAAGCUUGCUUUUCUGAUGUUAGCGGCGGACGGGUGAGUAACACGUGGAUAACCUACCUAUAAGACUGGGAUAACUUCGGGAAACCGGAGCUAAUACCGGAUAAUAUUUUGAACCGCAUGGUUCAAAAGUGAAAGACGGUCUUGCUGUCACUUAUAGAUGGAUCCGCGCUGCAUUAGCUAGUUGGUAAGGUAACGGCUUACCAAGGCAACGAUGCAUAGCCGACCUGAGAGGGUGAUCGGCCACACUGGAACUGUGACACGGUCCAGACUCCUACGGGAGGCAGCAGUAGGGAAUCUUCCGCAAUGGGCGAAAGCCUGACGGAGCAACGCCGCGUGAGUGAUGAAGGUCUUCGGAUCAUAAAACUCUGUUAUUAGGGAAGAACAUAUGUGUAAGUAACUGUGCACAUCUUGACGGUACCUAAUCAGAAAGCCACGGCUAACUACGUG